rnacentral:lncRNA from 1 species
CCUGACUGGAUUCCUUAUCCCUUUGUAUCACUGCUGUUCCCAUCCUACCUCUCAUUGUUUCCCUCACAGAUUCAAUAAAUACAAUAUGUUUGGUGCCACUGCUGAUCUGCUGAGCCAGUCAGUGGCCAGCCCACUGACUCAGACUUGGUCUCAGCUUCAAAAGAAAAAUGAUGAUGUCUGUCUUUCUAGGUUUGAACCCCUCUGGUGAGCAGCAUCACAAAUGUGAUACAGACCUUCAGUAAUUACUGAAGCAGCAGUUUGUCACAAGCUGCCUGCAGCACUGAUGGACAAUCUGCUGCACAAUUGCAGUUCCAGAAAUGACACAAAACACUCAAGUCCAUGGAUGGUGAGGUGCUCAUGGAAAUUGAGACCAGCCCCAGCCGUGUCUGUUGCCAGCAGGACAGUGCAGUGUCCCCACUCUGCUGAGAAGUCCAUGACAAGG